rnacentral:rRNA from 2 species
GAACUUUCCAGAGAUGGAUUGGUGCCUUCGGGAACUGUGAGACAGGUGCUGCAUGGCUGUCGUCAGCUCGUGUUGUGAAAUGUUGGGUUAAGUCCCGCAACGAGCGCAACCCUUAUCCUUUGUUGCCAGCGGUCCGGCCGGGAACUCAAAGGAGACUGCCAGUGAUAAACUGGAGGAAGGUGGGGAUGACGUCAAGUCAUCAUGGCCCUUACGACCAGGGCUACACACGUGCUACAAUGGCGCAUACAAAGAGAAGCGACCUCGCGAGAGCAAGCGGACCUCAUAAAGUGCGUCGUAGUCCGGAUUGGAGUCUGCAACUCGACUCCAUGAAGUCGGAAUCGCUAGUAAUCGUGGAUCAGAAUGCCACGGUGAAUACGUUCCCGGGCCUUGUACACACCGCCCGUCACACCAUGGGAGUGGGUUGCAAAAGAAGUAGGU